rnacentral:rRNA from 1 species
UACGUAGGUGGCAAGCGUUUGUCCGGAAUUAUUGGGCGUAAAGCGCGCGCAGGCGGUCCUUUAAGUCUGAUGUGAAAGCCCACGGCUCAACCGUGGAGGGUCAUUGGAAACUGGAGGACUUGAGUACAGAAGAGGAAAGCGGAAUUCCACGUGUAGCGGUGAAAUGCGUAGAGAUGUGGAGGAACACCAGUGGCGAAGGCGGCUUCUGGUCUGUAACUGACGCUGAGGCGCGAAAGCGUGGGGAGCAAACAGG